AAAAAGCCGAUCUAAUCGAUGAACCGGAAAUAGAGGUGAUAAGCCAUGAUCAGCCUGAAGAAUGCCAACAACAGUGUUUUUACGAUAUUGACCACAAGGAUGCACAGGAACAGAUGCUGGCUUGCAAAUGGUUACAACAUCUGGAUCUUUUUGAAGGAUAGAAACUCCCCCAGCCAUCACUGGUGGUUCAUGCCUGUGUAAGAAGUGGCUUAUCUUUUGCGACGGUUUAACCAUGUAUGAAACGGGCACCAUCUCUCCAUCAACUUGUAUCCGUCCACAUUUGACAGCAUUAACAUAGUAAUCAUAAGGCCGGCCCUUGAACUCUUCAGCGAACAAAUCGACGAUGGUCUUUCCUGCCCAGCGAUUCUUAACAUGAGAGAUGAACUCGAAGUAGUAAGGCCUCACAUGCCGCCUCCGAUGUAAUCGCGUUUCUCAGGUGGGUUGGCCGGCGUUUGCCACACUAUCUCCAUGCCGUUUUUGUUUUCUUCUUCCCUCUUUCUCUUCAUUUCUCC
rnacentral:misc_RNA from 1 species